AGGGGAGUGAAAAAGAACCUGAAACCGUGUACGUACAAGCAGUGGGAGCACGCUUCGGCGUGUGACUGCGUACCUUUUGUAUAAUGGGUCAGCGACUUAUAUUCUGUAGCAAGGUUAACCGAAUAGGGGAGCCGAAGGGAAACCGAGUCUUAACUGGGCGUUAAGUUGCAGGGUAUAGACCCGAAACCCGGUGAUCUAGCCAUGGGCAGGUUGAAGGUUGGGUAACACUAACUGGAGGACCGAACCGACUAAUGUUGAAAAAUUAGCGGAUGACUUGUGGCUGGGGGUGAAAGGCCAAUCAAACCGGGAGAUAGCUGGUUCUCCCCGAAAGCUAUUUAGGUAGCGCCUCGUGAAUUCAUCUCCGGGGGUAGAGCACUGUUUCGGCAAGGGGGUCAUCCCGACUUACCAACCCGAUGCAAACUGCGAAUACCGGAGAAUGUUAUCACGGGAGACACACGGCGGGUGCUAACGUCCGUCGUGAAGAGGGAAACAACCCAGACCGCCAGCUAAGGUCCCAAAGUCAUGGUUAAGUGGGAAACGAUGUGGGAAGGCCCAGACAGCCAGGAUGUUGGCUUAGAAGCAGCCAUCAUUUAAAGAAAGCGUAAUAGCUCACUGGUCGAGUCGGCCUGCGCGGAAGAUGUAACGGGGCUAAACCAUGCACCGAAGCUGCGGCAGCGACGCUGAUGCGUUGUUGGGUAGGGGAGCGUUCUGUAAGCCUGCGAAGGUGUGCUGUGAGGCAUGCUGGAGGUAUCAGAAGUGCGAAUGCUGACAUAAGUAACGAUAAAGCGGGUGAAAAGCCCGCUCGCCGGAAGACCAAGGGUUCCUGUCCAACGUUAAUCGGGGCAGGGUGAGUCGACCCCUAAGGCGAGGCCGAAAGGCGUAGUCGAUGGGAAACAGGUUAAUAUUCCUGUACUUGGUGUUACUGCGAAGGGGGGACGGAGAAGGCUAUGUUGGCCGGGCGACGGUUGUCCCGGUUUAAGCGUGUAGGCUGGUUUUCCAGGCAAAUCCGGAAAAUCAAGGCUGAGGCGUGAUGACGAGGCACUACGGUGCUGAAGCAACAAAUGCCCUGCUUCCAGGAAAAGCCUCUAAGCAUCAGGUAACAUCAAAUCGUACCCCAAACCGACACAGGUGGUCAGGUAGAGAAUACCAAGGCGCUUGAGAGAACUCGGGUGAAGGAACUAGGCAAAAUGGUGCCGUAACUUCGGGAGAA
rnacentral:rRNA from 1 species